AUCUACGGCUAUACCACCCUGAAUGCACCUGAUCUUGUCUAAUCUCAGAAGCUAAGCAGUGUCAGGCCUGGUUAGUGCCUGGAUGCUCAAAGUG
ensembl:rRNA 5S_rRNA 5S ribosomal RNA